CCUACGGGAGGCAGCAGUGGGGAAUAUUGCACAAUGGGGGAAACCCUGAUGCAGCGACGCCGCGUGAGUGAAGAAGUAUUUCGGUAUGUAAAGCUCUAUCAGCAGGGAAGAAACCCACCCUCCGGGGUGGCUGACGGUACAUGACUAAGAAGCCCCGGCUAACUACGUGCCAGCAGCCGCGGUAAUACGUAGGGGGCAAGCGUUAUCCGGAUUUACUGGGUGUAAAGGGAGCGUAGGUGGCAAGGCAAGUCAGAUGUGAAACCCACGGGCUCAACCUGUGGCCUGCAUUUUAAACUGUUUUUUUUGAGUACUGGAGAGGCAGACGGAAUUCCUAGUGUAGCGGUGAAAUGCGUAGAUAUUAGGAGGAACACCAGUGGCGAAGGCGGUCUGCUGGACAGCAACGGACGCUGAGGCGCGAAAGCGUGGGGAGCAAACAGGAUUAGAUACCCUGGUAGUC
rnacentral:rRNA from 1 species